rnacentral:rRNA from 1 species
AUUGAACGCUGGCGGCAUGCUUUACACAUGCAAGUCGAACGGCAGCGCGGGGGCAACCCUGGCGGCGAGUGGCGAACGGGUGAGUAAUGCAUCGGAACGUAUCCUGUAAUGGGGGAUAACGUAGCGAAAGUUACGCUAAUACCGCAUACGCUCGAGAGAGGAAAGUGGGGGAUCACAAAGACCUCACGUUAUAGGAGCGGCCGAUGUCCGAUUAGCUAGUUGGUGGGUAAGGCCUACCAAGGCGACGAUCGGUAGCUGGUCUGAGAGGAUGAUCAGCCACACUGGGACUGAGACACGGCCCAGACUCCUACGGGAGGCAGCAGUGGGAAUUUUGGACAAUGGGCGAAAGCCUGAUCCAGCCAUGCCGCGUGCGGGAAGAAGGCCU